rnacentral:lncRNA from 1 species
UCUCCAUUGCCUCAGCCCAAUUCAAACAUCUCAAAAGGUGACAAGCUGACCUGAAAGAUUUUUAUAACAACGGAGUGAGCAAAAAAUAACUCAACAAGUGACAAAGCAUAUUCAGAACAAAAGGAAUGAUUUCAAACAAGUAAGAUAUCAUAAUACAAGGCAGAAUACAAGAAUUUUCAAGAUACCAUAUCAUUAGAUACAAAAUCAUAUGUGUCAUAUCAUUCAAAACCUAUUUGGUUCAUAACAGAUGGAGCAUAUCAAUAGCGUACGAGAUGUUCCGGAGCAUAUCAAUGGCAAAUAAGACAUUUCAGAACAUAUCAGUUCAUAGCAAAUGGAGCACAGAGUAAUUGGAGCAUAUCAAUAGCGUAUGAAAUAUUCCGGAGCAUAUUAAUGACAUAUGAAACAUUUUGAAGCGUAACAAUAACAGAAUAAACAUUUUGGAGCAUAUCAAUAACGAAUGAAACAUUUCAGAACAUUUCAAUGGUAAGUGAAGCAUUUUGAAGUAUAUAAAUGGCAUAGGAAAUAUUUUGGAGCAUAUCAAUAACGAAUGAAAUAUUUCGGAGCUUAUCAACGGCAUAUGAAAUGUUUCGGAGCAUAUCAAUAACGAAUACGAAACAUAAGCUCAAACGUCGAAUUUUACAUUACAUUCAUAUCAUUCUUAUCCAAAGCACGUAUAGAAACACAUAACCAAAGCUCUGGAUACCAUAUCAAACAUACAGAAGGUGAAGUGGGACCAUAACAUAAUAUGGUACAUCCAUUUCUGAAUGACCACCAAACAUAAGUCUCCCACGUCUGGGAGGUCUCCCACGUUUGGGAGCUCCAUCCACCCACAUCUGAGGGAAGUCAUAAGGGCCGACAGAGCAUCACAGGCUCUAUGCAUAACUCCCUUCACCAUUUCUGGCAAAGGUUCACAAUAUCCCACAAACACUAGAGUACAAUGGGACAGUAUAAACAAUAAAUAGCACAUAUCGGAAGUACACGCGGAACAACAAACGUAUAUGUGCCUUUACGAGUCAAUACGAAGUCAGCAAAAAUCUUUCACAAUUGUAUUCAGAUUUGAAAGGAAACGAAAGCAAGAGCAUUCAAGGAUUUCUAGCAAUCACAUAUAACUCAAUUCAAAUAAAAAGGUUAGAUGAAUUCAAUGUCCAAAGGAAUCAAAUUGGAAUAGGCACAUAUCGAAGGCAAAUGCAGAACAAUGGGAUAUAUAUGUGCCUAUACGAGUCAAUACAAUAUAGCAUAAACAUUACACAAUAGUUUUCAAGAAUGCAAAUAAUUUUAAGGACAAGAGCAUACAAGAAUUCAAAGCAGUAAUAUAAAGCUCAAUUGAAUAGGAAAGCCAAAGGAUAUCAAUUUCCAAAAGAAGGAAACCAGAAUAUGCGAAAUCGACCAAAGCUCGAUUUCUGGCAAAAUUCAAGAGGCACAUUGAACAAAUGAUUCAAACUAUCAAUCAUACUCCAAUUUACUUAGAAAUAUAUCAUUGGAAAGAUAUUUCGAUCUACUUUCAGAUAAAAUAAGCUUCAUAUGAAUUGAACUAUCCAAUAGAGAGUUACAAAUAAUUUGGUAAACAAGGGUCGGAGAACAAAAUCUCUAUUUGGCAUGAUUCAAUAGAUAACUGGGCAUGUGUUUAGACUCCAAAUCUUUCAAUCCAUAUAUCAAAAGAAAGAUGUACGAGUCUAGUUUCUAAUGAAAUCAGUUUUGAAUAAAUCAGAAUUUCCAACAUCGACUUAUAGGCAGCUCGGUAUCAAAAGGUCAGAAAUUACGAUCCCUGUUUUGCAGAAUCUGUAGGCUCAUUUGAAACAGAAGUUUAGGCAAACAAACUUACUCUGAAUUCUAAAAUAAGCUAUCAAAAGAAAGGAUAAUGAAUCUAUAUUCUGAUCAAAUAAGUUUUGUCUAAAUCAGAGGUCAAUACAUGAAGUUAUAACCAUAACAAGGUAGAAAGGUCAGAAUCUCAAAAAUUGCACAGAUUCGAAUCGUUACGUCUAUACAGGAGAUAUAUCAAAUGCAAGGCUAGAACAAUUCAAAGUUCCUUAUAUUCAAAGCAAAUGUAGAGAUAAAAUUGAAGUAAGGAAAGAUCAGGACACUUGAAAUAGGAAAGAUUAGAAAGCUUGCAAUAGGAAGGAUUGGAAUACUUACCUUUCAAAGAUUUUGAUCCGAAGAUCCAAAGAAGGUGUCAGCCCAAAUCCUUCUACUUUUCCUCCGUGUCCUCUCCCUGUUUCAUUUUCUACAUGUCUUCUCUUUUUCCUCCACAACUGCAGCUCAUGCAGAACAUAGAGGCAUAAUCACUUGCUCUCUCUUACUCUCAUUCCUUCGUUUUCUUUUUCAAGCGCAGCUAUCGUAGCCAUUGCCACUACCACUACCACAGUCGUAGCCACGACCGCAGUCCCUUCUACUAUACUACUUCCAUCCUCUC